AAGACUAUACUUUCAAGGCUCAUUUCUAUAGUAUGUGACUAGAGAGGUUUCUCAUAUCAUGUAGAGCACUCGAAAUCACGAGGAGGAGCCAGAGCGUCCUCUCCUGAGCAUAGCGGUUCUAGGUGUUGCUUCUGCAACUGCCUUUGGCUAUUGAUGAUGGCUCUUCAUUUCCAUUGGAAGGGGUAGAGAGAGAAGAUGUGCAUUCUGAGUGGU